UGUUAUGAUUGUGAGCUUCAGCCGUGUCGAUGUACAUUAUUAUCGCAGACGGACAUGUCAGGCCUUUGAGACCGGCUCACCUCAGAGUGUCUUUGUUAUGAAUAAAACGAACAAGAUAAAUGAUUUAUGUUACACCUUUAUGUAUUAUGUUAUAUAAAUCAUGUUUAGAGAUUGACUAUUAGAUCACAGAACUAUUAGUUCAUCAGUUGCCCCCGGUGUAGACACCAAUAGUAAUUGGGUAGUAGGAAUCCACUGAGAUGAAGUGACUGUCUCAUCCCCCACUUAUUUGAUUUCAGAUAAACAGGUUGAUCAAGAUAUCAUGGUCUACAAGCAUGGAGUUCAGAUACUUGGAUUAUGCUAGUUGAGCUGACGUCAUGUUAUCUUAUAUUUGUAUAAGAUUUAGCUUCUUUAUGUUUUCAGUUGUUAGCUCAAUUUAUUAUUAAUCUCUUGGAUUUUGUAAUCCUAUUUAUGUAUUCGGACAAUAUGUAAUGAAAACUUAAUGU
rnacentral:lncRNA from 1 species